rnacentral:rRNA from 1 species
AGGGUAAUGUCUGGGAAACUGCCUGAUGGAGGGGGGUAACUACUGGAAACGGUAGCUAAUACCGCAUAACGUCGCAAGACCAAAGAGGGGGACCUUCGGGCCUCUUGCCAUCGGAUGUGCCCAGAUGGGAUUAGCUAGUAGGUGGGGUAACGGCUCACCUAGGCGACGAUCCCUAGCUGGUCUGAGAGGAUGACCAGCCACACUGGAACUGAGACACGGUCCAG